UGGGCGCAGUUGUUGCACAAACUAAAGCCAUUUAUUAGAGGUAAUAGUAUUUUCUUGUCUUUUAACCAGGAAUUGCAAAUGGAAGCUGAGGUGAGCAGCUCCAAGGUAAGCAGAAAGGGAAACUUUUCCAAACUUUGCAGUGUGUUUUGCUGUAAACUAUUUGUGAUUUUUUUUCUGCCUCAACCAGCAGGAAGAUCUAUAAUUAAAUUAACAGGUUUGUUUUAUCACAUUCUCUACUGAAAUCAGAUGAUCUUCUAAAAUUAUGUUUUUUAUAUUAACUAGGGAACCUUGGAGGUCUGUGAUGAACCUCAGCAGGAGACUUGCGAGGAGAGACCUCAGGAGUGUGGCGAUUACACCUGCCCGCCUGAGCUCUCUGAGCAAGAGGAUCCUCAGCCCAUCGAGGAGGAUCCGACAGCCUGUAAUGAGGCUGAAGCACCAACUAUGAGGCAGGAGAGCAUGGACACCAGCCCCUGCCACUUCCAGGUAAGCAGAAAAUAACAAAUGAAUGAAAAAUAUUUAUUUUAUCAUAUUCUCUUCUGAACUGAGCUGAUCUUAUAAAAUAAUAUUUUCUGUCUUAACCAGAACAUCAUGGAAGAAACAGACCCUCACCCCGACACCAGUGAGGUAACUAGCAUAGAGUUGUAUAGUGUCCCAAAUGAGCUUAGUUUCUCUUUAAGCCACAGGGUUCAUGAAUAAUCUCUGUAAAGCAUUAUGAUUAUAGCUUAUUUACCAACAUAGAUGCUAAUUGUAUUACUUUGAGCUUUACAGUAUUGGUUUGUUACCAUUUUUCUGUCUUAACCAGGCUGAAGCACCAACUAUGAGGCAGGAGAGCACGAACACCAGCCCCUGCCACCCUCAGCAGGAGACUUGCGAGGAGAGACCUCAGGAGUGUGGCGAUUACACCUGCCCGCCUGAGCUCUCUGAGCAAGAGGAUCUUCAGCCCAUCGAGGAGGAUCCGACAGCCUGUAAUGAGGUUUGUGCUUAAUUAUAUCUUCUGAAAGUCAUUUUGUUUUAAGAUUAAACAUACACUCACCUUUAGUGAUAACUUGCAUUGGAUGAUAGGCCUUUCAUCCCAUAAAGUAACAGCAACUUUAUAUUGAUUGAGCAGAACCGAUACAAUAAAAAGACAACCUUCAACCAUUGUAUUACUUUGAGCUUUACAGUAUUGGUUUGUGACCUUUUUUCUUUUUUAACCAGGCUGAAGAACCAAUUAUGACGCAGGAGAGCACGAACACCAGCCCCUGCCACCCUCAGCAGGAGACUUGCGAGGAGAGACCUCAGGAGUGUGGCAAUUACACCUGCCCGCCUGAGCUCUCUGAGCAAGAGGAUCCUCAGCCCAUCGAGGAGGAUCCAACAGCCUGUAAUGAGGUUUGUGCUUAAUUAUAUCUUCUGAAAGUCAUUUUGUUUCAAGAUUAAACAUACGGUCACCUUUAGUGAUAACUUGCAUUGGAUGAUAGGCCUUUCAUCCCAUAAAGUAACUGUUAUAUUGAUUGAGCGGAACCCUGGUGUUACCUCCAUCCCCAAGCUGGUGGUAGAGCCAAGGUUUCCCCAGUGACCCCCCCGAAUACAUGCAGUGGACUUUUGGCAAUAUUUUGACACUGAGCUGGAAUUGUAGAAAAUAAAAACCCUGCCUUUAAAAUGAUGAAUUUAUUACUACUUUGAAUUGACAGGGCCUCAGUUGUUGCUUACAAUUUUUAUUCCAGAUUAUUUUUUAUUGAGCAGAACCGAUACAAUAAAAAGACAACUUUCAACCAUUGUAUUACUUUGAGCUUUACAGUAUUGGUUUGUGACCUUUUUUCUGUCUUAACCAGGCUGAAGAACCAAUUAUGACGCAGGAGAGCACGAACACCAGCCCCUGCCACCCUCAGCAGGAGACUUGCGAGGAGAGACCUCAGGAGUGUGGCAAUUACACCUGCCCGCCUGAGCUCUCUGAGCAAGAGGAUCCUCAGCCCAUCGAGGAGCAUCCAAC